UCCUCAUUAUCUCAGGGGUAUAGAGCACUAGUUUCGUAAACUAAAGGUCGCGAGUUCGAAUCUCUCAUGAGGCU